GAUGAGCGCUGGCGGCGUGCCUAAUACAUGCAAGUCGAGCGAACAGAUGAGGAGCUUGCUCCUCUGACGUUAGCGGCGGACGGGUGAGUAACACGUGGAUAACCUACCUAUAAGACUGGGAUAACUUCGGGAAACCGGAGCUAAUACCGGAUAAUAUAUUGAACCGCAUGGUUCAAUAGUGAAAGACGGUUUUGCUGUCACUUAUAGAUGGAUCCGCGCCGCAUUAGCUAGUUGGUAAGGUAACGGCUUACCAAGGCAACGAUGCGUAGCCGACCUGAGAGGGUGAUCGGCCACACUGGAACUGAGACACGGUCCUGACUCCUACGGGAGGCAGCAGUAGGGAAUCUUCCGCAAUGGGCGAAAGCCUAACGGAGCAACGCCGCGUGAGUGAUGAAGGUCUUCGGAUCGUAAAACUCUGUUAUUAGGGAAGAACAAAUGUGUAAGUAACUAUGCACGUCUUGACGGUACCUAAUCAGAAAGCCACGGCUAACUACGUG
rnacentral:rRNA from 1 species